rnacentral:ncRNA from 1 species
ACUGACAAAAGCAGCAAGUUUUUUUCCCCUUGGCCGGAAGGUCUGGGUAAUCUUGUGAAACUUUGUCGUGCUGGGGAUAGUCCUUUGUAAUUAUUGGACUUCAAC